rnacentral:tRNA from 1 species
UGGGAUGUAGCCAAGCGGUAAGGCACAUGGUUUUGGUCCAUGCAUUCGGGGGUUCGAAUCCCUCCAUCCCAGCCA